GGUUAAGUGAAUAAGGGCGCACGGUGGAUGCCUUGGCACUAGGAGCCGAUGAAGGACGGGACUAACACCGAUAUGCUUUGGGGAGCUGUACGUAAGCUAUGAUCCAGAGAUUUCCGAAUGGGGGAACCCAACAUCUUUAAUAGGAUGUUACGAUUGUGUGAAUACAUAGCACAUUCGAGGUAGACGCAGAGAACUGAAACAUCUAAGUACCUGCAGGAAGAGAAAGAAAAUUCGAUUCCCUGAGUAGCGGCGAGCGAAACGGGAAAAGCCCAAACCAGCAAGCUUGCUUGUUGGGGUUGUAGGACUCCAAUAUGGUAGUUCUUUCAGAUAGUCGAAUGACUUGGAAAAGUCAGUCAAAGAGGGUAAAAACCCCGUAGACGAAAUGUGGAAGACACCUAGGAGGAUCCUGAGUACGGCGGAACACGAGAAAUUCCGUCGGAAUCCGGGAGGACCAUCUCCCAAGGCUAAAUACUCCCUAGUGACCGAUAGUGAACCAGUACCGUGAGGGAAAGGUGAAAAGCACCCCGGAAGGGGAGUGAAAUAGAACCUGAAACCGUGUGCCUACAACAAGUCAAAGCCCGUUAAUGGGUGAUGGCGUGCCUUUUGUAGAAUGAACCGGCGAGUUACGAUUGCAUGCGAGGUUAAGUUGAAGAGACGGAGCCGCAGCGAAAGCGAGUCUGAAUAGGGCGUUUGAGUAUGUAGUCGUAGACCCGAAACCAUGUGAUCUACCCAUGUCCAGGUUGAAGGUGCGGUAAAACGCACUGGAGGACCGAACCCACGUACGUUGAAAAGUGCGGGGAUGAGGUGUGGGUAGCGGAGAAAUUCCAAACGAACUUGGAGAUAGCUGGUUCUCUCCGAAAUAGCUUUAGGGCUAGCCUCGGAAUUGAGAAUGAUGGAGGUAGAGCACUGUUUGGACUAGGGGCCCAUCUCGGGUUACCGAAUUCAGAUAAACUCCGAAUGCCAUUCAUUCAUAUCCGGGAGUCAGACUGUGAGUGAUAAGAUCCAUAGUCGAAAGGGAAACAGCCCAGACCACCAGCUAAGGUCCCAAAAUAUAUGUUAAGUGGAAAAGGAUGUGGGGUUGCACAGACAACUAGGAUGUUGGCUUAGAAGCAGCCAUCAUUUAAAGAGUGCGUAAUAGCUCACUAGUCGAGUGACCCUGCGCCGAAAAUGUACCGGGGCUAAACAUAUUACCGAAGCUGUGGAGUACACCUUUAGGUGUAUUGGUAGGAGAGCGUUCUAAGGGCGUUGAAGGCAGAUCGUGAGGACUGCUGGAGCGCUUAGAAGUGAGAAUGCCGGUAUGAGUAGCGAAAGACAGGUGAGAAUCCUGUCCACCGAAUGACUAAGGUUUCCUGGGGAAGGCUCGUCCGCCCAGGGUUAGUCGGGACCUAAGCCGAGGCCGACAGGCGUAGGCGAUGGAUAACAGGUUGAUAUUCCUGUACCCGUUGUUUUUGUUUGAGCAAUGGAGGGACGCAGGAGGCUAAGGAAUGCAGACGAUCGGAAAUGUCUGUCCAAGCAGUAAGUCUGAAGAGGAGUCAAAUGCUUCUUUUCUUAAGGACAAGCUGUGAUGGGGAGGGAAAUAAUAGUACCGAAGUUCCUGAUGUCACACUGCCGAGAAAAGCUUCUAGUGAGAAAACAGCGGCCCGUACCGCAAACCGACACAGGUAGUCGAGGAGAGAAUCCUAAGGUGAGCGAGAGAACUCUCGUUAAGGAACUCGGCAAAAUGACCCCGUAACUUCGGGAGAAGGGGUGCUGAUCAUACGAUCAGCCGCAGUGAAUAGGCCCAAGCGACUGUUUAUCAAAAACACAGGUCUCUGCAAAAUCGUAAGAUGAAGUAUAGGGGCUGACGCCUGCCCGGUGCUGGAAGGUUAAGAGGAGUGCUUAGCGCAAGCGAAGGUACGAAUUGAAGCCCCAGUAAACGGCGGCCGUAACUAUAACGGUCCUAAGGUAGCGAAAUUCCUUGUCGGGUAAGUUCCGACCCGCACGAAAGGCGUAACGAUUUGGGCACUGUCUCAACGAGAGACUCGGUGAAAUUUUAGUACCUGUGAAGAUGCAGGUUACCCGCGACAGGACGGAAAGACCCCAUGGAGCUUUACUGUAGUUUGAUAUUGAGUGUCUGUACCGCAUGUACAGGAUAGGUAGGAGCCGUAGAAAUCGGAACGCUAGUUUCGAUGGAGGCGCUGGUGGGAUACUACCCCUGCGUUAUGGCCACUCUAACCCGCACCACUAAUCGUGGUGGGAGACAGUGUCAGAUGGGCAGUUUGACUGGGGCGGUCGCCUCCUAAAAGGUAACGGAGGCGCCCAAAGGUUCCCUCAGAAUGGUUGGAAAUCAUUCGAAGAGUGUAAAGGCAGAAGGGAGCUUGACUGCGAGACCAACAAGUCGAGCAGGGACGAAAGUCGGGCUUAGUGAUCCGGUGGUUCCGCAUGGAAGGGCCAUCGCUCAACGGAUAAAAGCUACCCUGGGGAUAACAGGCUUAUCUCCCCCAAGAGUCCACAUCGACGGGGAGGUUUGGCACCUCGAUGUCGGCUCGUCGCAUCCUGGGGCUGUAGUCGGUCCCAAGGGUUGGGCUGUUCGCCCAUUAAAGCGGCACGCGAGCUGGGUUCAGAACGUCGUGAGACAGUUCGGUCCCUAUCCGUCGCGGGCGUUGGAAAUUUGAGAGGAGCUGUCCUUAGUACGAGAGGACCGGGAUGGACUUACCGCUGGUGUACCAGUUGUUCUGCCAAGGGCAUUGCUGGGUAGCUAUGUAGGGAAGGGAUAAACGCUGAAAGCAUCUAAGUGUGAAGCCCACCUCAAGAUGAGAUUUCCCAUUUCUUUAAGAAAGUAAGAUCCCUGAGAGAUGAUCAGGUAGAUAGGUCAGGAGUGGAAGUACAGUGAUGUAUGGAGCGGACUGAUACUAAUCGAUCGAGGACUUAACCAA
rnacentral:rRNA from 1 species